rnacentral:rRNA from 1 species
UACAGAGGGUGCGAGCGUUAAUCGGAAUUACUGGGCGUAAAGCGCGCGUAGGCGGCUUUGCAAGUCGGGUGUGAAAUCCCCAGGCUUAACCUGGGAACUGCAUUCGAGACUGCAUUGCUAGAGUAUGGGAGAGGGAAGUGGAAUUUCCGGUGUAGCGGUGAAAUGCGUAGAUAUCGGGAGGAACACCAAUGGCGAAGGCAGCUCGCUGGGACGUGACUGACGCUGAGACGCGAAAGCGUGGGGAGCAAACAGG